CCUAUGGGGGGCAGCAGGCGCGAAAACUUUACAAUGCGGGAAACCGCGAUAAGGGGACACCGAGUGCCAGCAUCCUAUGUUGGCUGUCCAUAUGUCUAAAUCACAUGUGUUAGCAAGGGCCGGGCAAGACCGGUGCCAGCCGCCGCGGUAACACCGGCGGCCCGAGUGGUGGCCACUAUUAUUGGGUCUAAAGGGUCCGUAGCCGGUUUGGUCAGUCUUCCGGGAAAUCUGACGGCUCAACCGUUAGGCUUUCGGGGGAUACUACCAGGCUUGGGACCGGGAGAGGUAAGAGGUACUACGGGGGUAGGAGUGAAAUCUUGUAAUCCCUGUGGGACCACCAGUGGCGAAGGCGUCUCACCAGAACGGGUCCGACGGUGAGGGACGAAAGCUGGGGGCACGAACCGGAUUAGAUACCCUAGUAGUCC
rnacentral:rRNA from 1 species